rnacentral:tRNA from 1 species
AAAUUUUUAUUUUAUUAAAAUUUUAAAUUGUAAAUUUAAAGAAGUAUAUUUAAAUAUACAAAAUUUU